GGUUAACCUCGGCAAGAGGAGGACAGGGCUCAGAAGACAUAGCAGCCCCUAUCCCAGGUCUGCACCAUCGCUGACAAAGCCACAACAACGCAUGUCCAAGAAUCAACAUCACAGUACCAGGAUGUGAGGACUCCCAGCUCCAGCAUCAUGCUGCCUUCACGCUGCCAUGCUCUCCACCAUGACAAUAAUGGACUAAACUUCUGAACUUACCUACCAGGCUCCCACCAGGAUCUAGCCCUGCUCGUGGCCCCUGCUGAGGAGUCAGGUGACAGAGACUACCAUAGGUGUUGGGGACAUAUCAGGCAGAUACGGAGACAACUUACCUGUGGC